rnacentral:rRNA from 1 species
AUUGAACGCUGGCGGCAGGCCUAACACAUGCAAGUCGAGCGGAGCGGCGGACGGGUGAGUAAUGCCUAGGAAUGAGCCUGGUAGAGGGGGAUAACGUACGGAAACGGGCGCUAAUAACGCAUACUAGCAGAUGAGCCUAGGUCGGAUUGGCUAGUUGGUGGGUUAAAGGCCUACCAAGGCGACGAUCCGUAACUGGUCUGAGAGGAUGAUCAGUCACCCGGGAACUGAUACACGGUCCAGACUCCUACGGGAGGCAGCAGUGGGGAAUAUUGGACAAUGGGCGCAAGCCUGAUCCAGCCAUGCCGCGUGUGUGAAGAAGGCCUUCGGAUUGUAAAGCACUUUAAGUUGGGAGGCGUUACCAACAGAAUAAGCACCGGCUAACUUCGUGCCAGCAGCCGCGGUAAUAC